CUAGGAAGAAGAAGAUAUACAACUGGGAGAAGCAUCCAUUUAGAGAGAUGGUCUUUAUGCCUGAUAUGAAGCUCAAUAACAUCCUGGGAACAGUUACAGUGAUAUAACUUAUCUCUAGAAAUGAGAGGUUGAGAAUGAAAAAAUACAUAGGUGUGUGGAGAUGAUAGUCCAAGUGUAUAACCACAAUGAUCACUGCAUGCUGGGUAAAUGUUAGUAUGUACAUCAGCAAGAAGACCGCAAACAAAAUCAGUUGGAUUUCCCUAGUGCUUG